AUUGAACGCUGGCGGCAUGCCUUACACAUGCAAGUCGAACGGUAACAGGUUAAGCUGACGAGUGGCGAACGGGUGAGUAAUGUAUCGGAACGUGCCCAGUCGUGGGGGAUAACUGCUCGAAAGAGCAGCUAAUACCGCAUACGACCUGAGGGUGAAAGCGGGGGAUCGCAAGACCUCGCGCGAUUGGAGCGGCCGAUAUCAGAUUAGGUAGUUGGUGAGGUAAAGGCUCACCAAGCCGACGAUCUGUAGCUGGUCUGAGGGGACGACCAGCCACACUGGGACUGAGACACGGCCCAGACUCCUACGGGAGGCAGCAGUGGGGAAUUGUGGACAAUGGGCGCAAGCCUGAUCCAGCCAUGCCGCGUGCGGGAAGAAGGCCUUCGGGUUGUAAACCGCUUUUGUCAGGGAAGAAAAGGUUCUGGCUAAUACCUGGGACUCAUGACGGUACCUGAAGAAUAAGCACCGGCUAACUACGUG
rnacentral:rRNA from 1 species